rnacentral:lncRNA from 1 species
GUGAACAUUGAUUGCCAUGAGUAGCUCCUUUUGAAAGUCGCGGUUGGCCGUGUGACCUCUGUCAUCCCCAAUGUGAAUGCCACCUGAAGUAAAGGCCUUGUUGAUGACAUAGUGGUGCUUAUACACUGCAGGUGCAAAACCUACAGAUGCACAUGAACAACUGAAGGUGUUCUCGGAACACUGCAAAAGUCAAUCAAAAAAAGGAAAGGAAGAGGUGAACCAAGCUUCAACUUGGAAUCAGACGGUUGAACUUUGCCAAAGCGGCAUU